rnacentral:rRNA from 1 species
GACGAACGCUGGCGGCGUGCUUAACACAUGCAAGUCGAACGGAAAGGCCCUGCUUUUGUGGCUCGCUCGAGUGGCGAACGGGUGAGUAACACGUGAGUAACCUGCCCUUGACUUUGGGAUAACUUCUGGAAACUGGGGCUAAUACCGGAUAUGAGCUCCUGCUGCAUGUUGUGCGUUGGAAAGUUUCGGCGGUUGAGGCUGUAGUCGCGGCUUAUCAGCUUGUUGGUGAGGUAGUGGCUUUCCAAGGAUUUGACGGGUAGCCGGCCUGAGAGGGUGACCGGCCACAGUGGGAUAGAGAAGCGGCCAAGAGGGCUACGGGAGGAAGGAGCGGAGAAUAUAGGAAGAAGGGCGGAAGCAUGAAGGAGGAACGCCGGGUGGGAAAUGACGGCCUUCGGGGUGGAAACAGCUUGCGCGUGAGACGAAGCGUGAGUGAGGGAAAUGGGUAGAGAAGCACGGGUAAAUUAGGG